AGUUGUGGCACAUGGGCUUAACAGCUUGUGGGAUCUUCCCAGACCAGGGAUCAAACCCGUGUCUCCUGCAUUGGCAGGCAGACUCUUAUCCACUUAGCCACCAGGGAAGCCCCUUUAAUGUUUUUAACCUUUAUGUUUCAUAUUAGGAAACAGGUUCAGACUAACUAGCUGAAGAUCACGCAGUAAUUUUAAGUGGGUCUGUUCUAACUUGGAUCCUAUUUCACAGCCCAGCAUCUGCAGGCUGAGCCCUGGGAGCUGAGCUGUGGCUGCUGCUCCUGGAAGCAAAAAAGAAGGGUCACAGUCAACUGGGACAUUCAAGUUAUACUAGUUUUAAAGUGAAACAUGAGUCAGAAAGGGGUAAGAAUAUCAUCUCUGAAAAACAGAUAUGACUCAACUGUCAGUAAAAGUUCACUUUGGAAAACUGAGUCAAAACAGCUUGAUUUAACUCAAUAUGGUCACAACCACUGGCCUCUACACAUUUGGGGGGUGUGCUGGCUGCACCUUUAAAGAGAAAUUGGGAGUUGAAGAACACUGUGCCUCAUUGGAGAGCUCUGCUGUGGAUCAUUGCCCAGGGAGAGCCCGGAUGAAGGGCACCUGGAAGAGCUGGAGGCUGGUGGGAUAAUCACUUCAGGAGAAUCUGUGUCUUCCUGACUCCCAUUGCUGUCACCCAGGCUCUUACCCGGGAGCCUGGCAGAGAAUGUCCUGCGGAGGACGUGACUGCAGCUGGCCGUGCUCACCACAAGCCUGGGGUGAGUCAGGGCAGCAGACGGUUGACCCGGCUGGUAUUCUCUGCUGGCCCAGGCCCGGGUGCCGCGCUCACCCUACCUGCAGGUCCAUCUCGGGACCACAUCAGGUCAUGGACUGGUCUUGGCCAGGGUUGUUGGGGCGGAGGCAUCGGGUCAGGGUUACCUCUUCCUCUUUCAGACAUGAAACCACCCAUUUAUUUGAAGGCUUGUGGAGGGAGGCAGGCAGUCACCUGUGAAAGGCCUGGCUUUCCAGCUUUUCCAGGAAGGCUUUCGAGUGUCCUGCUACUGAUUAAGUGGUAGCACUGACAGCAAAGGGUUAGUUGCUCAGCCAUGUCCGACUGUGUGACCCCCGAAGGGUAGCCCACC